ACUCAAAUGAAUUGACGGGGACUCGCACAAGCGGUGGAUUAUGCGGCUUAAUUCGUCGAUAAACGAAGAACCUUACCAAGGUUAGAAAUCCAACUGCAUCCUUUAUGAAAGUAGAGGAGCCUUCGAGGGUGUUGGACAGGUGAUGCAUGGUCGUCGUCAGUUCGUGGUUUGAACUGUUCCCUUCAGUGGGGUAACGAACGCAACCCCCGUUGCCUGUUGCCUAUAUGGCCAGGCGAGACUGCUCCCUCACGGGAGAGGAAGGUGGGGAUGACGCCAGAUCAGCAUGUCCCUCUGAUACCUUGGGCUGCACGCAUAAUACAAUGGGUGGUACAACGGGUCGCAAUGCCGUAAGGCGGAGCCAAUCCUUAUAAAACCACCCCCAGUACGGAUUGAGGUCUGCAAUCGACCUCAUGAAGCCGGAAUCGCUAGUAAUCCCGGGUCAGCCAAACCGGGGUGAAUACGUUCUCGAGUCUUGUACACACCGCCCGU
rnacentral:rRNA from 1 species